rnacentral:rRNA from 1 species
UACGGGGGGGGCAAGCGUUGUUCGGAGUUACUGGGCGUAAAGGGUGUGUAGGCGGUUCUUUAAGUUUGGUGUGAAAUCUCCCGGCUCAACCGGGAGGGUGCGCCGAAUACUGAGGGACUAGAGUACGGGAGAGGAAAGUGGAAUUCCUGGUGUAGCGGUGAAAUGCGUAGAUAUCAGGAGGAACACCGGUGGUGUAGACGGCUUUCUGGACCGUAACUGACGCUGAGACACGAAAGCGUGGGUAGCAAACAGG